rnacentral:rRNA from 1 species
CCUCCCAAAGCGUAACGGAGGAGCACGAAGGUUAGCUAAUCCUGGUCGGACAUCAGGAGGUUAGUGCAAUGGCAUAAGCUAGCUUGACUGCGAGCGUGAGGCGCGAGCAGGUGCGAAAGCAGGUCAUAGUGAUCCGGUGGUUCUGAAUGGAAGGGCCAUCGCUCAACGGAUAAAAGGUACUCCGGGGAUAACAGGCUGAUACCGCCCAAGAGUUCAUAUCGACGGCGGUGUUUGGCACCUCGAUGUCGGCUCAUCACAUCCUGGGGCUGAAGUAGGUCCCAAGGGUAUGGCUGUUCGCCAUUUAAAGUGGUACGCGAGCUGGGUUUAGAACGUCGUGAGACAGUUCGGUCCCUAUCUGCCG